rnacentral:rRNA from 1 species
GUAGGGUGCGAGCGUUAAUCGGAAUUACUGGGCGUAAAGCGUGCGCAGGCGGUCCGUUGUGUCCGAUGUGAAAGCCCCGGGCUUAACCUGGGAAUGGCAUGGGAAACUGGCGGGCUGGAGUGUGGCAGAGGGGGGUGGAAUUCCGCGUGUAGCAGUGAAAUGCGUAGAGAUGCGGAGGAACACCGAUGGCGAAGGCAGCCCCCUGGGCCAACACUGACGCUCAGGCACGAAAGCGUGGGGAGCAAACAGGAUUAGAUACCCUGGUAGUCCACGCCCUAAACGAUGUCGACUAGGCGUUGGGGAAGCGAUUCCUUGGUGCCGUAGCUAACGCGUGAAGUCGACCGCCUGGGGAGUACGGCCGCAAGGUUAAA